CACGAAAAUUGGUACCCAACAAAUAAAAUAAAUCCACAGUAACAGGCUAACAAGAUGAAGUCAAAACUGAAUCUCGUAGAAUACUCAGAUGAUAAUGUUGUAAAAAUGUCUGUGAUAUUUUUAUUUUUUAUCUGUUUAUGUAGAGUAUUUAUUUUUGUACACUCAAUGAAAAGCUUGAAAUGUGCAUUGUUAUUGUACAAAGAAAUUUGAACAUCUAAACCAGACCAUUUCAUAAAUUGAAAUAUUUUGUUCAGAUAAAAGUAUGUGUUGAAUUAGAAAAGAGUAUUGAUAGUAUAUCCUAUGAACAUGUUAUCGUUUUACCCAGGUUUUAUUGAAGAUGGGCUUCAAUGAUUAUGAUUAUUUUCUAAGGAGAAAAAAAAUCAACACACUGAUUGUAGAUCUAUAAUACUGGCAUCUGAAUUUGUGUAACAUGUAGUUUUCGAAGAAAUAUGAUGGCUUUUAAUAAUACAUCAUAUAUGUAUUUAAGUACACUGUAAGAUUGAUUCAUUGUGUAAGCAUUAUAACAGUUAAUUCUGUAGUCAGAAUAUUGUAUUUUUU
rnacentral:lncRNA from 1 species